AGAGUUUGAUCAUGGCUCAGAACGAACGCUGGCGGCGUGGAUAAGACAUGCAAGUCGAGCGCUGGCUGCAAGGUAGCAAUAUUUUGCAGUUGGAGCGGCGCAAGGGUGCGUAACACGUGGGUAAUCUGCCAGGAAGUCUGGAAUAACUUGCUGAAAGGCGAGCUAAUACCGGAUGUGACCAAUGGGGAGCAUUUUCCGUUGGUUAAAGUUGGGGACCGCAAGGCCUGACGCUUCCUGAUGAGCCCGCGGCCUAUCAGCUAGUUGGUGAGGUAACGGCUCACCAAGGCCAAGACGGGUAGCUGGUCUGAGAGGACGACCAGCCACACUGGAACUGAGACACGGUCCAGACACCUACGGGUGGCAGCAGUCGAGAAUUUUUCACAAUGGGGGAAACCCUGAUGGAGCGACGCCGCGUGGGGGAUGAAUGGCUUCGGCCCGUAAACCCCUGUCAUUUGCGAUCAACCGUUAGUAUUUAAAAGAUGCUGACCUGAUGGUAGCGAAAGAGGAAGGGACGGCUAACUCUGUGCCAGCAGCCGCGGUAAUACAGAGGUCCCGAGCGUUGUUCGGAUUCACUGGGCGUAAAGGGUGCGUAGGUGGUGGGGUAAGUCGGAUGUGAAAUCUCGGAGCUCAACUCCGAAACGGCAUUGGAAACUGCCCUGCUAGAGGUUUGGAGGGGGGACUGGAAUUCUCGGUGUAGCAGUGAAAUGCGUAGAUAUCGAGAGGAACACCAGUGGCGAAGGCGAGUCCCUGGACAAGACCUGACACUGAGGCACGAAAGCUAGGGGAGCAAACAGGAUUAGAUACCCUGGUAGUCCUAGCCGUAACCGGUGCGUGCUUGCUGUAAAAGGAAUCGACCCCUUUUGUGGCGGAGCCAACGCGUUAAGCACGCCGCCUGGGAAGUACGUCGCAGAUUAAAACUCAAAGAAAUUGACGGGGCCUGCACAGCGGUGGAGUAUGUGGCUCAAUUCGAUGCAACGCGAAGAACCUUACCUGGCCUGACA
rnacentral:rRNA from 1 species